UAAACCUACGGGAGGCAGCAGUAGGGAAUCUUCCACAAUGGACGAAAGUCUGAUGGAGCAACGCCGCGUGAGUGAAGAAGGGUUUCGGCUCGUAAAGCUCUGUUGGUAGUGAAGAAAGAUAGAGGUAGUAACUGGCCUUUAUUUGACGGUAAUUACUUAGAAAGUCACGGCUAACUACGUGCCAGCAGCCGCGGUAAUACGUAGGUGGCAAGCGUUAUCCGGAUUUAUUGGGUGUAAAGGGUGCGUAGACGGGAAAUUAAGUUAGUUGUGAAAUCCCUCGGCUCAACUGAGGAACUGCAAAUAAA
rnacentral:rRNA from 1 species